GGAAAGUUGCAAAGCACUUUGAAGAGAGAGUUAAAGAGGACGUGAAACCGGUGAGGUGGAAACGGAUAGAGUCGGCGUAUCUGUCAUUCAUUCAUUCGUGACGUUUCCUCUACUUUAUCUUUGAUCUCCAGAUUGGGACAAGGUUACGUUGAGGCAGCGUCGUGAUGCAUUUGCAUGUGGGGUGCGUAUAGGCUUCUGGGGGAGGGGUGUGAUCUCGGUUUUGAGGCCAGCUUGCUGGUACCCGAGCCAGGCGAAUGCCUUUUCCCCCGUUGUGUUGCGCAUGGCUUCGGGCUUGAUUAGGACCUGACUGGGAGUCGGAGGCGGUCGCGUGCGACACGUGCUGUGCUAACAUUCCGUCCUAUUCGAGCUCUCAUGCGCGCUCUCUGCGUAAAAGCCGGUCAUCUAUCCGACCCGUCUUGAAACACGGACCAAGGAGUUUAUCGUGUGCGCGAGCCAUUGGGCGUUUAAAACUCAAAGGCACAAUGAAAGUGGAUGUCCUCGCAAGAGGCUGAUGUGCGACCCCUUGCCCCUCGGGACAGGGGUGCAGCAUGGCCCCAUCCCAACCGCAUGCGGUGGGGUGGAGGAAGAGCGUGCGCGGUGAGACCCGAAAGAUGGUGAACUAUUCCUGAGCAGGAUGAAGCCAGAGGAAACU
rnacentral:rRNA from 1 species